AAAGCGUGCAACAACACACGAGGAUGGAUUUCACAAGAUAACCACAGAACACAACCACAGAACCCAGGCAAGUCUUGAGAGCGUGAGCUGGCCCUGAGUCCUUGUUGCAGCAGGGUCCAGGUUUAAGGAUCCAGAUCCUCGACAACAAACGGAGGUGUUGACAGCGCUGAUCCAGGCUGACCUGCGGGCCUGCAGGAGGCGUCGCUCCCAGCAGCGACGACAGCUGAAGCUUCAGAGGAACGAUGCAGCUCCUGAGCCGCUCUGAUGCCCGCCUCUGAGCCGCUGGUGUUUCCCAGCAUGCCCCUGACUGACUCAGGUGGAGCGUGAGGCCGGGCCGUCUGCUGUGGGGAGGCUCGGCCUGCAGGGGGCCCCCUUCCUCCGGGCUGCUGCAGCUCGGACCCCUGACACACCAAACAAAUGUGCACAAACAAAACCUGGGGGGACUGAACCCUGCUGAGGGACUCUGAAAUCAUCCUUUGUCCUCAUUUAAUGUAAAUAUAUAAGCUUUAAAAACAAGUAAUUCAGUAUGAAAUGAACAGUUUUUGAUUUCUUGACUGAUAAGCAGGCCUGUAGACGUACUGUAGGUGUCACUCACACUUUGUGAAAGCAUUUGCUAAAAAUGUUCUGAAACAUAGCUUACAGCAAGAAAUCAGAUCAGAAAUACUUUAUUGAUCCCCGAGGGAAACGUCUUUGUUACAGAUACUCGUUUGCACAUCAAGGCAUAAAAGGAAUAGAAAUAAUAGCAGAAGUUAGUAAGUAGAGAAUGUAAAAAAGAAUAUAAUGAAUUUGGAUAUUAACAGUAUUAUACAGUAUUAACAGACCUGUAAUGAAAAUAAAUAGUGUAAUAAU